ensembl:lncRNA
UUUAAAUCAAUUGACUACAAGCAGCAAGAGAUGCGGCGUCUAAAUGCAGUGAGGGAGUAAGUCUCUAGAUAAGGCCACUUGGGAAAAGAGUGUCUGUUAAUGAAAGACAGGCUCUGCCGUGUCUAUCGGCCUACCAAGGACUGUGUGAGAGAGAGGAAGGGCAUUGACUGUUUAUAUAUGCAUAUUCUGCAUCAAAGUGCAGGCAUCCUGCUAUAGCCACACCCAACUCUGGUCUCCUAUGUAGUUUUUAUAGACUAGAAAACAGCUUAGGACAGCAGUUCUGUCUCUCUCGCUCUCUUUUCUGCUCCUCCCUACUCUCCUUUCCCCUUUCUCAUAUUUCUUUAAUCUCCCCCUCUCCACUCUCUACCCUCUCUCUCUCUUUCCAGGGUCUCAUUUAGAUCUGUUCCACACUCCUCCCUCCUCCCCCUCUGAUUCUGACCUGGCUGCAGCUCUGGCCUUGGCUCCAGCUGCGGCUCAGCUGCUGCAGCAGGGGACACCGUCCUCUGGGGCUACCGGAGGUAUCGUCUGCCAGGGUGGAGCUUCCCCCUCCACCAACUCCAAUUGGAGCCACACGCUGUCUGUCCCGCCAGAAUGGGCUGUGAUUAGCCUAGAGAGUGGUGCAUCGACGCAGGGAACAGGGGUGGAAAUGGACGGUGAAAGGCGACCAAGGAGGUGCUCCAGCAGCCACAACAACCACAGCAGCAGCCCUGUUUCCCCAGCCCAAGAGUCUCCGUCGGAUCGUAGCCCUUUGGAGCAGAGCUGGCAGGACCGGGACAGUGGGCUGGAGCCCCAGGCAGGGCCAGAGAGGGCUAGGGAGGAGAUGGCCCUGGCUCUGCUGAACCUGCUGGAACAUCACAGGUCCACACUGGGGCUCAGUCCCGGCCUGGACGCGCCAGCAGGAGCAGCCGAGCUGCUGAGGCGGUUGAUGGUGGAGAGAGAGGUGCUGGUUGAGGAGGUGCGCAGCCUGAAGGACACACUGAGGACUGAGCGAGCUGAGUGGCACCAGUUCCAGUGCGAUCUGCAGGUGGCGGUGUCUGUGGCCGACCGGCUGCGCAUGGAGGCGGAGGAGACUCUGGGCAACCUCAGAGAGAGCCACGGGGAACUGGAGGGCCAGCUGGCCCAGGCCCACUGCAGACAGCAGGACACAGACAGGGAACUGGAGAGCCUGAGUGCUGAACACAGAGAGGCCUGUCACAGACUGUCUGCUCUCACCCUGGAACACCAACGUACCAUGGCUGAGCUGGAGACACUGAGACGCAUGCAGACAGAGAGAGGGAAGGACUCACACAGUCACAGAGAGAUGGAGGGAAGAGACACAGAAGAGAGGCCGGCUGGUGAAGACAUAAAUGAGGUGGAGGCGCUGGAUGGGGAGGAAAGAGAGGAUUCAGAAAGGGAAGUGGAAGGAGAGAAAAUAAUAAAUAGUGAGGGAGUGGAUAUUAAGAUGGGAGGGCAGUCUCCUGAGGAGCUUGUUAGUGGAGGGGAGAACCUGCUCAAAGGGAAGGGGGUGGCAGAGACGUACCUACGGAAUUUGGUUGCAGCUGGAGAGAAGGGGUGCGGCUUAAGAGAUCCACGGAGGAUCGUGAUGAUGUCAGAGCGUUCCAGGUGAGAGCCUCAUACCUGUAUGAUGCACUAGCACAGUGGUCACCAACCGGUCGAUCGCCAAGGCCUUCCCAGUUACUCACUUUUGUAAAAAAAAACAACGAUAAAGCCUUGCAUUCCUAUUUUUUAA